rnacentral:rRNA from 1 species
UCGAGCGCCCCGCAAGGGGAGCGGCAGACGGGAGAGUAACACGUGGGAACGUGCCGUUCAGUUCGGAACAACCCCAGGGAAACUGGGGCUGAUACCGGAUACGUCCGCAAGGAGAAAGAUUUAUCGCUGAAGGAUCGGCCCGCGUCUGAUUAGCUAGUUGGUGAGGUAACGGCCCACCAAGGCGACGAUCAGUAGCUGGUCUGAGAGGAUGAUCAGCCUCACUGGGACUGAGACACGGCCCAGACUCCUACGGGAGGCAGCAGUGGGGAAUAUUGGACAAUGGGCGCAAGCCUGAUCCAGCCAUGCCGCGUGGGUGAAGAAGGCCCUUGGGUUGUAAAGCCCUUUCGGCGGGGAAGAUAAUGACGGUACCCGCAGAAGAAGCCCCGGCUAACUUCGUGCC